rnacentral:rRNA from 1 species
CCUACGGGAGGCAGCAGUGAGGAAUAUUGGUCAAUGGACGAGAGUCUGAACCAGCCAAGUAGCGUGAAGGAUGACUGCCCUAUGGGUUGUAAACUUCUUUUAUAUGGGAAUAAAAUGUUCCACGUGUGGGAUUUUGUAUGUACCAUAUGAAUAAGGAUCGGCUAACUCCGUGCCAGCAGCCGCGGUAAUACGGAGGAUCCGAGCGUUAUCCGGAUUUAUUGGGUUUAAAGGGAGCGUAGAUGGGUUGUUAAGUCAGUUGUGAAAGUUUGCGGCUCAACCGUAAAAUUGCAAUUGAUACUGGCAGUCUUGAGUACAGUUGAGGUAGGCGGAAUUCGUGGUGUAGCGGUGAAAUGCUUAGAUAUCACGAAGAACUCCGAUUGCGAAGGCAGUUCACUGGACUGCAACUGACACUGAGGCUCGAAAGUGUGGGUAUCAAACAGGAUUAGAUACCCCUGUAGUC